AGCUUUGCUCAGUGGCAGUAUCGUAGCCAAUGAGGUUUAUCCGAGGCGUGAUUACUGCUAAUUGAAAACUAAAAACAAUCUAAAUUUAAGCCACCACACCUGAAUGGCUGGAUAUAUACUGUAGCUAGGAUGGAGAGCU